rnacentral:rRNA from 1 species
AUGCCAGGUGUUAUACCGGUAGCUUCAGGUGGUAUUCAUGUUUGGCGUAUGCCAGCUUUGACCGAAAUCUUUGGGAACGAUUCUGCAUUACAAUUUGGUGGAGGAACUUUAGGACAUCCUUGGGGAAAUGCACCUAGUGCAGCAGCUAAUCGAGUGGCUUUAGAAGCCUGCGUACAAGCUCGUAACGAAGGGCGCGAUCUUGCUCGCGAAGGUAAUGAAAUUAUCCGAGCAGCUUGCAAAUGGAGUCAUGAACUAGCCGCAGCUUGUGAAGUAUGGAAGGCGAUCAAAUUCGAGUUCGAGCCGGUAGAUACUAUUGAUUAA